UGGAAACAGGGCCUGUCCCAGAAGAUGUGU
rnacentral:piRNA from 1 species